GGGUCAGUAGGUUGGUCGUGCCACCGGUACGUACUGGUCUCACUGAUUCCUCCUUCCUGAAUAACCGUAAUGCCAUUAAUUUGGUGUUGCGGGGAAACAGGACUGUUACUUUGAAAAAAUUAGAGUGUUUAAAGCAAGCUAACGCUUGAAUACAUUGGCAUGGAAUAAUGAAAUAGGACGAUCGAUCCUAUUUUGUUGGUUUCUAGGAUUGACGUA
rnacentral:rRNA from 1 species